rnacentral:rRNA from 1 species
AGUGAACGCUGGCGGUAGGCCUAACACAUGCAAGUCGAACGGCAGCACAGUAAUAGCUUGCUCUUACGGGUGGCGAGUGGCGGACGGGUGAGGAAUACAUCGGAAUCUACUUUUUCGUGGGGGAUAACGUAGGUAAACUUACGCUAAUACCGCAUACGACCUACGGGUGAAAGCAGGGGAUCUUCUGACCUUGCUCGAUUGAAUGAGCCGAUGUCGGAUUAGCUAGUUGGCGGGGUAAAGGCCCACCAAGGCGACGAUCCGUAGCUGGUCUGAGAGGAUGAUCAGCCACACUGGAACUGAGAGACGGUACAGACGACUACGGGAGGCAGCAGUGGGGAAUAUUGGACAAUGGGCGCAAGCCUGAUCCAGCCAUACCGCGUGGGUGAAGAAGGCCUUCGGGUUGUAAAGCCCUUUUGUUGGGAAAGAAAAGCAGCAGGUUAAAACCACGAUGUUCUGACGGUACCCAAAGAAUAAGCACCGGCUAACUUCGUG